AACUUUCAACAACGGAUCUCUUGGUUCUGGCAUCGAUGAAGAACGCAGCGAAAUGCGAUACGUAGUGUGAAUUGCAGAAUUCCGUGAAUCAUCGAAUCUUUGAACGCACAUUGCGCCCUUUGGUAUUCCAAAGGGCAUGCCUGUUCGAGCGUCAUUU
rnacentral:rRNA from 1 species